ACGAACGCUGGCGGCAGGCCUAACACAUGCAAGUCGAGCGCGCCCUUCGGGGUGAGCGGCGGACGGGUGAGUAACGCGUGGGAACGUGCCCUUUUCUACGGAAUAGCCUCGGGAAACUGAGAGUAAUACCGUAUACGCCCUUUGGGGGAAAGAUUUAUCGGAAAAGGAUCGGCCCGCGUUGGAUUAGGUAGUUGGUGGGGUAAUGGCCUACCAAGCCGUCGAUCCAUAGCUGGUUUGAGAGGAUGAUCAGCCACACUGGGACUGAGACACGGCCCAGACUCCUACGGGAGGCAGCAGUGGGGAAUCUUAGACAAUGGGGGCAACCCUGAUCUAGCCAUGCCGCGUGAGUGAUGAAGGCCUUAGGGUUGUAAAGCUCUUUCAGCUGGGAAGAUAAUGACGGUACCAGCAGAAGAAGCCCCGGCUAACUCCGUG
rnacentral:rRNA from 1 species